GCGGGUUUGGUGUAGUGGCAGCACAACAGCCUUCCAAGCUGUUGGGGCGAGUUCGAAUCUCGUAAUCCGCUCCA
rnacentral:tRNA from 1 species